CAGCAGCCACGGUAAUGCGUAGGUGGCAAGCGUUGUCCGGAAUUAUUGGGCGUAAAGGGCUCGCAGGCGGUUUCUUAAGUCUGAUGUGAAAGCCCCCGGCUCAACCGGGGAAGGUCAUUGGAAACUGGGAAACUUGAGUGCAGAAGAGGAGAGUGGAAUUCCACGUGUAGCGGUGAAAUGCGUAGAGAUGUGGAGGAACACCAGUGGCGAAGGCGACUCUCUGGUCUGUAACUGACGCUGAGGAGCGAAAGCGUGGGGAGCGAACAGGAUUAGAUACCCGCGUAGUCCCUGUCUCUUAUAC
rnacentral:rRNA from 1 species